AGCCUCCUGGUGCUUACCCCAGGCUGCGUUCUUACACUGACUGUACAGAAGGAGGAGGCAAAGUAAACCUACCCCAUGAGCACCUCAGCCCAGGCCCUGUGCCUAGUCUGUAUUGUGAGUGGGGAGACACGG
ensembl:snoRNA